GAAAGCCUGACGGAGCAAUACCGCGUGAGGGAUGAAGGUUCGUGGAUUGUAAACCUCUUUUUUCAGGGAAGAUAAUGACGGUACCUGAAGAAUAAGCAUCGGCUAACUCCGUGCCAGCAGCCGCGGUAAGACGGAGGAUGCAAGCGUUAUCCGGAAUUAUUGGGCGUAAAGCGUACGCAGGUGGCAUAUCAAGUCCUUUGUUAAAGCGCGAGGCUCAACCUCGUAAAGGCAGAGGAAACUGGUAAGCUAGAGUAUGGUAGGGGCAGGAGGAAUUCCCAGUGUAGCGGUGAAAUGCGUAGAUAUUGGGAAGAACACCAGCGGCGAAA
rnacentral:rRNA from 1 species